UACGUAGGGCGCAAGCGUUGUCCGGAAUUAUUGGGCGUAAAGAGCUCGUAGGCGGCUUGUCACGUCGAUUGUGAAAGCUCGGGGCUUAACCCCGAGUCUGCAGUCGAUACGGGCUAGCUAGAGUGUGGUAGGGGAGAUCGGAAUUCCUGGUGUAGCGGCGAAAUGCGCAGAAAUCAGGAGGAACACCGGUGGCGAAGGCGGAUCUCUGGGCCAUUACUGACGCUGAGGAGCGAAAGCGUGGGGAGCGAACAGG
rnacentral:rRNA from 1 species